rnacentral:rRNA from 1 species
AUUGAACGCUGGCGGCAUGCUUUACACAUGCAAGUCGAACGGUAACAGGCCUUCGGGUGCUGACGAGUGGCGAACGGGUGAGUAAUGCAUCGGAACGUACCCAGAGGUGGGGGAUAACGCAGCGAAAGCUGUGCUAAUACCGCAUGUGAUCUGAGGAUGAAAGCGGGGGACCGAGCAGCAAUGUUUGGCCUCGCGCCUUUGGAGCGGCCGAUGUCGGAUUAGCUAGUUGGUGGGGUAAAGGCCUACCAAGGCGACGAUCCGUAGCUGGUCUGAGAGGACGGUCGGCAGCCUUGGGAGUGGAACAGGGCCCAGGCUCCUGAGGGAGGCACCAGAGGGGAAUUUGGGACAGUGGGCGGGAACAUGGUACAGCAAUCGGGCGCCCGGUACGACGGCCUUGGGUUUGUAAUGCGGUUUUGGCAGGAACGAAACGGUGUCGGCUAUUACGGGGCGUUAAUGACGGUACCUGCAAAAUAAGCACCGGCUAACUACGUG